CACACAGAUUCCACAACUUAUUCGAGUUCUCGUGUCAUGCUGCUGUUAUGUGUCAGUAUUGCCAGUCGUUUGCUGUCGAAAAUGAAACACGAUUCGGCAUGCAACAACGGGUUGGCCUCCUCUGGGGCGGAGUCCAUAGCAAGGAACGUUUGAAGAAGUUAGUGCCUCUUGGAAACAGUGGAGCUACUUUGCGUGUUUUCAACCCGCGAUUCGAUCGAGUAUAAAAGGUCGGGUAUAGUGGCAGACAGUGAACCGUUUUCCCGAACGAUCACAGCGUGGUAACGAUCCAUCGCUAGUUCCCCGACGAAAAAUGGUAGUGUUGCCGCAUCCGCGAUCCUUGUGUCCGAAUGAGAUGCCUAGCGAAAAAUCAGCGUUGAGCAGGAGAAUUUGGUGGCUGAGUUCCAGUGGGUUUCUGCGCAUCACUCUGAAAAGUGUACGCUCGGUUUGCAUACUGCAUAGACGCGCGAUGUUUCGGGGUGCAAACGCGGCUGUACCUGUGUCUUGUGAUGGUCACCGCGUAUACCUAAUGAGAACCGGCUUCAGGUUGUUGUCUUGGAGAAGAGGGGGAAAAGCAAUAAUGCUAGCAUUUGGCGUAGCCGACAGCUGAACAACCAGAAUGUCAUUUUGCAGGUGUGAACCGUCGUGGUACCCCACAGUGGGACGCUCGUACCUGAGAGUUUCACUGUGUCUCGGGAAAGAAGGAUACAUUCACGGUGCCAAGACAGCACGGAACAUUAGUGUAGUGGAUAGGAACGAUACAUGUGGGCUGUUGAAACACCACGUGUCGGGAGCUGUUUUUUCAACGUUUUCUGACCUACGAAGAAAUUAUUCAGGCAUGGUGGAGACAAAGGAAGGAUAAAGUGAAGGACUGUGUAGUGGUCCAGGGAUGUGGCAUGAUCUUGUGUAAGAAGCGUAAGUCUGCUACCGGCCCCUAUGAUUGGCGCCACAACCGCAAAAGUGCGAUUCUGCCAUGGCAGUAUAUGACAGAGAUGCAAAAGAGAGAAGUACGCGUGAUACAAGAUGAAGCGGGGAUGCGGGUACAAAACUGCUGCCGUGUAUCGAAACAAGCGCUUGAUUCCAGUUGUCCUAAAAGGGUCUACACCGCGCAACCGUAC
rnacentral:lncRNA from 1 species